UGAAAAUGAUUUCACUGCUAAUCACGUUAAAAAAUUUUAACUGAAUUUUUAUGACCGUAUAGGUAAUUUUUUUUUAUUAAAGUCUUCAGUUUAAAUAGAAUUGAAUUUUACUAAAAUAACAAACAUUUAGUUGGAGAUUUUUUUUAACUUUUUAUUUAACAUUAAUUACUAGUAAAUAAAAUGGUCUUAUUCAUCAUUAAGUUAAAUUUAUUUUAGCAUUUUUGACUUAUUUUGUUAUAAUUGACAGUGAUAAUAUAUAUUUUACAUGGCAGUUCUCCCAAUCAAAGUCAAUUAUUCUCGAUUUAUUGCACGUAGAUUUUGUAUCUAUUGGUUUGAAUGGUAUUAUCCUAUUUACAUAUGUAAAGCACUUGAAAUCAAGUAUACAUAGUAAUUCCUGUAUCUACUAAUAAAGCUUACAAAAC
rnacentral:sRNA from 1 species